CGUGUUCGCACGUGCCGCACGGAUCUCGCAGCAGCUAAAGCCAUCCACUCAGCUCAGUUCCACACCAAACAGCACAUCAGUCGCAUCGCAUCACCCCGGAUCAAGUGAAAGUGAGGAAACCGAAUCGAAACCAAAAUCGAAACCGUAACCGUAACGGAAACGGAAACUGAAACUCUAACUGGACCGAGUCUAAAUCGAAAUAAUCGAAGAUUGCAAGCAUUUCAUGCCAAAGACUUUGUGUUGCCAAAUCUGUGUUCUUUUUUUGUGUUCGCGCUUCUUAGCCCCGUCGUCUCACGCGUCCUUAGUUGCCAUUCCAACUCGCAUGUUAGCCAACUCAAUCAACAAGCUGCACAAGAGAAUAAAUAGUAUAUAGUUCGUUUCGUAGUAUCAAAAUCUAAAUACAUCCAAACAGAUAUCCGUCGGCGUUAAGCUAAGUUAUAUAUCUAUUUUUUUGUUUUUUUUUCAACAUUUUUUUCACGUUAUCAAAAAAAAAAACAAAUAUAAAAAAAUAAAAAGAAAAGCAAACCGAAAAACCAAGCAAAACAAAAAAUAUAUAGUUAGUGUCUAUGUGUGUAUAAAACAAUUGGUGAAUGAGAGAGAAGAGGAGCAGGACACAGAGCAGUUAAUCGAGAGCCAGGACCCUAGAAUCCUAGACAGCUGCCAGGAGGAGUUCCAAGUGAAAUACCAGAGAAAGAGAGACCUGUGCGAAACACCUUGGCACAUCGAUUCAGCGGGAUUCAGGAUAAUCGAAGGAGACUGGCCAUUACAACUGGCAAGGGAAACAUGCCGCUGGCGUUGAAGACGUUGCAGCUAGCGUCCGGCGCCACGCCCCCGCCCCACUAGAAGUUGAGCCCUUACCCAACAAUUGGCAAGGGCAAGGCAACGGCAGCAUGGUCACAACGGCGGCAGCAACCACUUCCACCACUUCCACAUCGACGGCAGCCAC